rnacentral:snoRNA from 1 species
AGCCCAUGGUGAGGGCAUCGUCUCAAAAGAUCCUUGUAUCUCUCUCAUACGUCAUAGAGUGUUUCUAGAUUCAUUUGCACAAAAGAAGAGAUUUCAUUCCUCAACUU